UGCUUUGAGACCUCGCAGUGCAAGACAUCAACCGUAUAGCCUGAUAGAAAAAAUUAGAAGAAUUCGGCUAUCAACUAGAUCGUUUGAAUUUAAUAUUCAGCUGAAGUGCUCAAUUAUCCGGCUGUGCCGAGAAAAAUGCAUCUCAUAAAUCUACCCACGUAUUCCGACGCUUUCUUUACUAUGGUGACGAUAUUCUCAGCGUUAGCGAGAGUGUUUAUUUGACCGUCUCUGCCCGUACGUGUUGGGUAGUAUUCGGCCACUGCACCUAUGUAGGAAGUUGCAUCUGCUGCCGAAAUCUGGGUCUACAUACCUGCAGGAAUGUGAAUCGGGUCCAAAUCGCUAGUCCGAAGAUAAUGAUCGACAAUUUGGUGGCUGCCAUGGUUGCAGGUGGCCUAAAAAUGUGUAAUCCGCUUACUGUUCCUCAUAAAUAGUAUUAGACCUCUUUAGAAAUUGAUGGAUUCGUCUUAUAAACCCAUCGUAAUUAUCUGAUGCUGAUUCAAAUGUGAUAACUAUGGCAACACCUGAGGCCCUUAUAUGUACGUAAGACGUGUACGUCAGAAAUGGUUUUAGAUGGAUUGGUUGCUUUGGGGAAAAGGAUCACGUUAGAACGGAUCGUUGUAAUUUGUAGAUGUCGCGUUAUUGUAAAAAGCUGUGAGAUUUAAAAGUCCCAUUUUCAUAUCUCGCCGGAUAUCUUCGAGAGUAUUAUUCGGAGGGCGGCGAUAUUUCUACUGAAUUUGAAAGUUAAGAAGUUGAGCGCUUCAAUUAUACUUGGCAACGUAAACUUUACUGUUGCAGUAAAAAAUGAACUCGCGUUUAUUCCAGGUGAAAUUAACUUUCACAAGUACUUACUGUAAUAUUGCGUCGUUCUUACGUGAGUUUUAGAAAAAUCCUUAAGACGCUGCGGUUACUGUUCGCGAAUUCGCGACAUCUAUAUUUGUAAUACAAAUGACGCCGCACGCUUCGCGUAUCUGUAUAUUUAUACAUUGAUUGUGAGUUCAAAGUACUCAGUGACUGCAUGUACAAAAAAUAUACGACAAUGUCAAGCAAUGGCAGCGCUACUUCACUUCGUGUAACAGAGAGUGAUAAAAUAUUUCGAUUUUGUCACUAUUGUCCAAUCCUAACUAUUGUCCACUCCUACUGACAAUGCGUUAUCAAAUAAGUUGAUCAGUUUGUCGAAUAGACAUAUGUAACAUACUGAUUGUUACGUUGUAUUGUAGUCAUGUGUUUACAAUUAGUACGAAUCAGCGAUAUACAUUGAUAGCAUCUUUGCGUAACGAUGAGGGAUUAACGUUACGUGCAG
rnacentral:misc_RNA from 1 species